GACGAACGCUGGCGGCGUGCCUAAUACAUGCAAGUAGAACGCUGAAGGAGGAGCUUGCUUCUCUGGAUGAGUUGCGAACGGGUGAGUAACGCGUAGGUAACCUGCCUGGUAGCGGGGGAUAACUAUUGGAAACGAUAGCUAAUACCGCAUAAGAGUAGAUGUCGCAUGACAUUUGCUUAAAAGGUGCAAUUGCAUCACUACCAGAUGGACCUGCGUUGUAUUAGCUAGUUGGUGAGGUAACGGCUCACCAAGGCAACGAUACAUAGCCGACCUGAGAGGGUGAUCGGCCACACUGGGACUGAGACACGGCCCAGACUACUACGGGAGGCAGCAGUAGGGAAUCUUCGGCAAUGGACGGAAGUCUGAACGAGCAACGCCGCGUGAGUGAAGAAGGUUUUCGGAUCGUAAAGCUCUGUUGUAAGAGAAGAACGAGUGUGAGAGUGGAAAGUUCACACUGUGACGGUAUCUUACCAGAAAGGGACGGCUAACUACGUG
rnacentral:rRNA from 1 species